rnacentral:rRNA from 1 species
GAUGAACGCUGGCGGCGUGCUUAACACAUGCAAGUCGAACGGAAAGGCCCAAGCUUGCUUGGGUACUCGAGUGGCGAACGGGUGAGUAACACGUGGGUGAUCUGCCCUGCACUUCGGGAUAAGCCUGGGAAACUGGGUCUAAUACCGGAUAGGACCACAUUUUGGAUGGUGUGGUGGAAAGGUUUUCGGUGUGGGAUGAGCUCGCGGCCUAUCAGCUUGUUGGUGGGGUAAUGGCCUACCAAGGCGUCGACGGGUAGCCGGCCUGAGAGGGUGUACGGCCGCAUUGGGACUGAGACACGGCCCAGGCUCCUACGGGAGGCAACAGUGGGGAAUAUUGCACAAUGGGCGCAAGCCUGCUUCAGGGACGCCGCGUGGGGGAUGACGGCCUUCGGGUUGUAAACUCCUUUCGCUAGGGACGAAGCGUUAUGUGACGGUACCUGGAGAAGAAGCACCGGCUAACUACGUG